AACUUCAGUUGAAAAAGUUAUGAACAUAAAAGUUGUAGAACUCAUCAAGACAUAUAACUUUUAUUUUGGUCAUUUCUUUAUCCGAUAAAGUGAUAGUAAUAUUGUUCACAAAAUUUACAUCUCUUUUAUAGUUUAUAAAACCAAAUGAGAGAUGUAAAUUUAUGAACAAUGUUACUAUUACUUUAUCGGAUGAAGAAAUGACCAAAAUAAAAGUUAUAGAUCUCGAUGAGUUAUACAACUUUGUUGUUGAUGACUUUUUCAGUUGAAAUC
rnacentral:pre_miRNA from 1 species